rnacentral:rRNA from 1 species
GGUUAAGCGACUAAGCGUACACGGUGGAUGCCCUGGCAGUCAGAGGCGAUGAAGGACGUGCUAAUCUGCGAUAAGCGUCGGUAAGGUGAUAUGAACCGUUAUAACCGGCGAUUUCCGAAUGGGGAAACCCAGUGUGAUUCGUCACACUAUCAUUAACUGAAUCCAUAGGUUAAUGAGGCGAACCGGGGAACUGAAACAUCUAAGUACCCCGAGGAAAAGAAAUCAACCGAGAUUCCCCAGUAGCGGCGAGCGAACGGGGAGCAGCCCAGAGCCUGAAUCAGUGUGUGUGUUAGUGGAAGCGUCUGGAAAGGCGCGCGAUACAGGGUGACAGCCCCGUACACAAAAAUGCACAUACUGUGAGCUCGAUGAGUAGGGCGGGACACGUGGUAUCCUGUCUGAAUAUGGGGACCAUCCUCCAAGGCUAAAUACUCCUGACUGACCGAUAGUGAACCAGUACCGUGAGGGAAAGGCGAAAAGAACCCCGGCGAGGGGAGUGAAAAAGAACCUGAAACCGUGUACGUACAAGCAGUGGGAGCACAGAGCAAUCUGUGUGACUGCGUACCUUUUGUAUAAUGGGUCAGCGACUUAUAUUCUGUAGCAAGGUUAACCGAAUAGGGGAGCCGAAGGGAAACCGAGUCUUAACUGGGCGUUAAGUUGCAGGGUAUAGACCCGAAACCCGGUGAUCUAGCCAUGGGCAGGUUGAAGGUUGGGUAACACUAACUGGAGGACCGAACCGACUAAUGUUGAAAAAUUAGCGGAUGACUUGUGGCUGGGGGUGAAAGGCCAAUCAAACCGGGAGAUAGCUGGUUCUCCCCGAAAGCUAUUUAGGUAGCGCCUCGUGAAUUCAUCUCCGGGGUAGAGCACUGUUUCGGCAAGGGGGUCAUCCCGACUUACCAACCCGAUGCAAACUGCGAAUACCGGAGAAUGUUAUCACGGGAGACACACGGCGGGUGCUAACGUCCGUCGUGAAGAGGGAAACAACCCAGACCGCCAGCUAAGGUCCCAAAGUCAUGGUUAAGUGGGAAACGAUGUGGGAAGGCCCAGACAGCCAGGAUGUUGGCUUAGAAGCAGCCAUCAUUUAAAGAAAGCGUAAUAGCUCACUGGUCGAGUCGGCCUGCGCGGAAGAUGUAACGGGGCUAAACCAUGCACCGAAGCUGCGGCAGCGACGCUUAUGCGUUGUUGGGUAGGGGAGCGUUCUGUAAGCCUGCGAAGGUGUGCUGUGAGGCAUGCUGGAGGUAUCAGAAGUGCGAAUGCUGACAUAAGUAACGAUAAAGCGGGUGAAAAGCCCGCUCGCCGGAAGACCAAGGGUUCCUGUCCAACGUUAAUCGGGGCAGGGUGAGUCGACCCCUAAGGCGAGGCCGAAAGGCGUAGUCGAUGGGAAACAGGUUAAUAUUCCUGUACUUGGUGUUACUGCGAAGGGGGACGGAGAAGGCUAUGUUGGCCGGGCGACGGUUGUCCCGGUUUAAGCGUGUAGGCUGGUUUUCCAGGCAAAUCCGGAAAAUCAAGGCUGAGGCGUGAUGACGAGGCACUACGGUGCUGAAGCAACAAAUGCCCUGCUUCCAGGAAAAGCCUCUAAGCAUCAGGUAACAUCAAAUCGUACCCCAAACCGACACAGGUGGUCAGGUAGAGAAUACCAAGGCGCUUGAGAGAACUCGGGUGAAGGAACUAGGCAAAAUGGUGCCGUAACUUCGGGAGAAGGCACGCUGAUAUGUAGGUGAAGUCCCUCGCGGAUGGAGCUGAAAUCAGUCGAAGAUACCAGCUGGCUGCAACUGUUUAUUAAAAACACAGCACUGUGCAAACACGAAAGUGGACGUAUACGGUGUGACGCCUGCCCGGUGCCGGAAGGUUAAUUGAUGGGGUCAGCGCAAGCGAAGCUCUUGAUCGAAGCCCCGGUAAACGGCGGCCGUAACUAUAACGGUCCUAAGGUAGCGAAAUUCCUUGUCGGGUAAGUUCCGACCUGCACGAAUGGCGUAAUGAUGGCCAGGCUGUCUCCACCCGAGACUCAGUGAAAUUGAACUCGCUGUGAAGAUGCAGUGUACCCGCGGCAAGACGGAAAGACCCCGUGAACCUUUACUAUAGCUUGACACUGAACAUUGAGCCUUGAUGUGUAGGAUAGGUGGGAGGCUUUGAAGUGUGGACGCCAGUCUGCAUGGAGCCGACCUUGAAAUACCACCCUUUAAUGUUUGAUGUUCUAACGUUGACCCGUGAUCCGGGUUGCGGACAGUGUCUGGUGGGUAGUUUGACUGGGGCGGUCUCCUCCUAAAGAGUAACGGAGGAGCACGAAGGUUGGCUAAUCCUGGUCGGACAUCAGGAGGUUAGUGCAAUGGCAUAAGCCAGCUUGACUGCGAGCGUGACGGCGCGAGCAGGUGCGAAAGCAGGUCAUAGUGAUCCGGUGGUUCUGAAUGGAAGGGCCAUCGCUCAACGGAUAAAAGGUACUCCGGGGAUAACAGGCUGAUACCGCCCAAGAGUUCAUAUCGACGGCGGUGUUUGGCACCUCGAUGUCGGCUCAUCACAUCCUGGGGCUGAAGUAGGUCCCAAGGGUAUGGCUGUUCGCCAUUUAAAGUGGUACGCGAGCUGGGUUUAGAACGUCGUGAGACAGUUCGGUCCCUAUCUGCCGUGGGCGCUGGAGAACUGAGGGGGCUGCUCCUAGUACGAGAGGACCGGAGUGGACGCAUCACUGGUGUUCGGGUUGUCAUGCCAAUGGCACUGCCCGGUAGCUAAAUGCGGAAGAGAUAAGUGCUGAAAGCAUCUAAGCACGAAACUUGCCCCGAGAUGAGUUCUCCCUGACUCCUUGAGAGUCCUGAAGGAACGUUGAAGACGACGACGUUGAUAGGCCGGGUGUGUAAGCGCAGCGAUGCGUUGAGCUAACCGGUACUAAUGAACCGUGAGGCUUAACCUU